CCAGGCGAGCCAGCAGCAGGGGUGCAGGGACCGAGUGGCCCAGCCCCCUGGGCAGGGUGUCAGGGCCAGAGCCCAGAGGACGGCGGUUCAGGCUUCAGUCCCAGCCGGCGAACCAGAGCUGGGCAGAGCGGCCAGCAAGCGGCAGCCAGGGUGCCCUGGGCACUCGACCCCCAGAUGCCCCUGCUGGAACCGUAAAGGGGAGGCACCCUGAGGCCAGAGGGAGCAUGGCCCCGGGGACUGAGCAUCCGGCUCAGAGCGGCUCGGCAGAGGCCCACUGCUCAGUGGAGCGUGGAGGACGAGGAGGAGGCUGUCCACGAGCAAUGCCAGCAUGAGAGAGACAGGCAGCUUCAGGCGCAGGACGAGGAGGGAGGCGGCCAUGUCCCCGAGCGGCCGAAGCAGGAGAUGCUGUGAGCAGCCCCCUAACGCGUGCCUGGGCUCUAGCCCCUA
rnacentral:lncRNA from 1 species